AGAGUUUGAUUAUGGCUCAGGAUGAACGCUAGCGGCAGGCCUAACACAUGCAAGUCGAGGGGUAGAGUAAGCUUGCUUACUUGAGACCGGCGCACGGGUGCGUAACGCGUAUGCAAUCUACCUUAUACAGGGGAAUAGCCCAGAGAAAUUUGGAUUAAUGCCCCAUGGUAUUAUAGAGUGGCAUCACUUUAUAAUUAAAGUUCCAACGGUAUAAGAUGAGCAUGCGUCCCAUUAGUUAGUUGGUAAGGUAACGGCUUACCAAGACGAUGAUGGGUAGGGGUCCUGAGAGGGAGAUCCCCCACACUGGUACUGAGACACGGACCAGACUCCUACGGGAGGCAGCAGUGAGGAAUAUUGGUCAAUGGGCGCAAGCCUGAACCAGCCAUGCCGCGUGCAGGAAGACGGUCCUAUGGAUUGUAAACUGCUUUUAUACAGGAAGAAACCCUCCCACGUGUGGGAGAUUGACGGUACUGUAGGAAUAAGGAUCGGCUAACUCCGUGCCAGCAGCCGCGGUAAUACGGAGGAUCCAAGCGUUAUCCGGAAUCAUUGGGUUUAAAGGGUCCGUAGGCGGUCUUAUAAGUCAGUGGUGAAAUCCCAUCGCUCAACGAUGGAACUGCCAUUGAUACUGUAAGACUUGAAUGCUUAGGAAGUAACUAGAAUAUGUAGUGUAGCGGUGAAAUGCUUAGAUAUUACAUGGAAUACCAAUUGCGAAGGCAGGUUACUACUAAGUGAUUGACGCUGAUGGACGAAAGCGUGGGGAGCGAACAGGAUUAGAUACCCUGGUAGUCCACGCCGUAAACGAUGGAUACUAGCUGUUCGGAGCAAUCUGAGUGGCUAAGCGAAAGUGAUAAGUAUCCCACCUGGGGAGUACGCACGCAAGUGUGAAACUCAAAGGAAUUGACGGGGGCCCGCACAAGCGGUGGA
rnacentral:rRNA from 1 species